rnacentral:rRNA from 1 species
GAUGAACGCUGGCGGCGUGCCUAAUACAUGCAAGUCGAGCGAACGGACGAGAAGCUUGCUUCUCUGACGUUAGCGGCGGACGGGUGAGUAACACGUGGAUAACCUACCUAUAAGACUGGGAUAACUUCGGGAAACCGGAGCUAAUACCGGAUGAUAUUUUGAACCGCAUGGUUCAAAAGUGAAAGACGGUCUUGCUGUCACUUAUAGAUGGAUCCGCGCUGCAUUAGCUAGUUGGUAAGGUAACGGCUUACCAAGGCAACGAUGCGUAGCCGACCUGAGAGGGUGAUCGGCCACACUGGAACUGAGACACGGUCCAGACUCCUACGGGAGGCAGCAGUAGGGAAUCUUCCGCAAUGGGCGAAAGCCUGACGGAGCAACGCCGCGUGAGUGAUGAAGGUCUUCGGAUCGUAAAACUCUGUUAUUAGGGAAGAACAAAUGUGUAAGUAACUGUGCACAUCUUGACGGUACCUAAUCAGAAAGCCACGGCUAACUACGUG